CCUAGCCCUAAACAUCGAUAGUACCACACACCCACUAUCCGCCCGGGUACUACAAGCAAUAGCUUAAAACCCAAAGGACUUGGCGGUGCUUUAGAUCCACCUAGAGGAGCCUGUUCUAAAACCGAUAACCCCCGUUCAACCUCACCCUUCCUUGUUUUACCCGCCUAUAUACCGCCGUCGUCAGCUUACCCUGUGAGGGACUAAUAGUAAGCAGAACUGGUACAACCUAAAACGUCAGGUCGAGGUGUAGCGCAUGGAGGGGGAAGAAAUGGGCUACAUUCGCUACCACAGCGAACACGAAUGAUGCACUGAAACACACAUCUGAAGGAGGAUUUAGCAGUAAGCUGGAAAUAGAGCGUCCCGCUGAAACUGGCCCUGAAGCGCGCAC
rnacentral:rRNA from 1 species